rnacentral:lncRNA from 10 species
GUUAAUUUCGCGACUUUGGAGCCCGGAUAAAUUACCUAAUGUCUCGUCUCCUGCAGUUCCAAGCUGACACGGCAGAUGGUGUAGUUGAAUCGCCCAGGGAGCCUCAGCACAGCGGCCUCAGUCACCUCUCCACAAGGCAGCUGCCCCAAGCUGCAUUCAUUGGGACAAACCUACCUUCCUUCUAGAAUGUGAGUCAGAUGCGGCAGUGGUACUGCAGGCGGCAGCAAUGGCAGUGUCACAACACAGACUGAGAUUUGGCUUCAACACCGAACCGCUUGGGGGCUCUCAUGGAUGCAAAGUGUGUCGUUUCCUUGUGGAAGGACAGUGAAGGGUUUCCUCCUCCAAGAAGCUGCGUUAGCACUGGACCAACGACAAACAAGUGAAGGGCUUGGGUCAGGAUACCUGUGUUACAGCUGCAGAAUGUCAAGCACAGGGGCAGUGACUACAGCUUGCCAGGGCAGAGCCCACAGAGCAUUAUCCUAAAUAUCAUGGCCACAAAUCCAAAUUAAGUGUUGGUGACUCAGGUACCAUGCGCUGCAUUGAAUGACUCAGUAAAAUUCCAACCAAAUGAUAAUGCAAACAUGAAAUCAGCAAGCAAGCAUAAUUUCUGGAAAUGAUAGAGUCCCACCGAGACUUGGCAAACAGGCCGUCCAUUUUCCCCUUGUUGCACAGUGUCACAAUGCCUCUUCUACAGAUGUGGCCCCCUGAGCUGUGAACUCCUUGAAGACAAGGACUAGAACAGUGCCUGGCACAGUCCAUGUUGUAUACAGGAGGAAGAGGAUGUGGCUGAGUGUGGCACUGGGGCACGUGAAUGCCCACAUGCAGAGGGGAUGCUUGACAAUUAAACCACCCAUAAAGCAAGGCAUUAUAAAUGGCUGUGAGUGUGGCCAGCAUUGACUUUGGGCAACAGAGCUCUGGAUUUGCUAAGCCUCACGGGUCCUCUAAGGCUGUGCUCUCCUAGCCGAAUCCGCACAUCAGCCCUCUCCGGA